rnacentral:rRNA from 1 species
UGGGGAAUAUUGCGCAAUGGGGGCAACCCUGACGCAGCCAUGCCGCGUGAAUGAAGAAGGCCUUCGGGUUGUAAAGUUCUUUCGGUAGCGAGGAAGGCAUUUAGUUUAAUAGACUAGGUGAUUGACGUUAACUACAGAAGAAGCACCGGCUAACUCCGUGCCAGCAGCCGCGGUAAUACGGAGGGUGCGAGCGUUAAUCGGAAUAACUGGGCGUAAAGGGCACGCAGGCGGUGACUUAAGUGAGGUGUGAAAGCCCCGGGCUUAACCUGGGAAUUGCAUUUCAUACUGGGUCGCUAGAGUACUUUAGGGAGGGGUAGAAUUCCACGUGUAGCGGUGAAAUGCGUAGAGAUGUGGAGGAAUACCGAAGGCGAAGGCAGCCCCUCGGGAAUGUACUGACGCUCAUGUGCGAAAGCGUGGGGAGCAAACAGGAUUAGAUACCCUGGUAGUCCACGCUGUAAACGAUGUCGAUUUGGGGGUUGAACUUUGAGUUUGGCGCCCGUAGCUAACGUGAUAAAUCGACCGCCUGGGGAGUACGGCCGCAAGGUUA